rnacentral:sRNA from 1 species
AAUUGUCCUUUAUGCGGUGAACCUGGAGAGGACGCGGCGGCCGUGGCGCCACCAUGUGGAACACACCCACUCGGCGGUGUCGUGUUUCAUCAUCUCCCACGUUGGGCUGUUCCCCACCAGAUAAAUUAAUCCGAGCUGGAUGUGCAUGUGCUUGAAAGAUGGACAAAUUUUUGGGUGGUAACUUUUGCACUGACUUCCUAUUAGCAAAUGGUUGCUGUGCUCCUCCCCAUCACCCUCGGGCAGGUGUUGAUAUAAGCUGUCUUAGUCUCCUUUAUUAUCUUAUGCACUGUGAUGAACUCCAUCUACUUAUUUUAGUUGUGUUGAUGCUUCUAUGAGCUUACUGUCGUGUGGUGGACUUGGUUAUGUAAAAUGAUGUUUGGUGCUAUGGUGGACUUAAAUUAUCAUCCUGUGGUAAACUUUUGUGGACUUAAAUGUGAAGAUAUGUGUACUAGGUUGUGUGAACUU